GAUGAACGCUAGCGGCAGGCUUAAUACAUGCAAGUCGAGGGACAGCACAGGUAGCAAUACUGGGUGGUAACCGGCAAACGGGUGCGGAACACGUACACAACCUUCCUUUAAGUGGGGGAUAGCCCAGAGAAAUUUGGAUUAAUACCCCGUAAUAUAGUUGAAUGGCAUCAUUUGAUUAUUAUAGCUACGGCGCUUAAUGAUGGGUGUGCGGCUGAUUAGCUAGUUGGCGGGGUAAAGGCCCACCAAGGCGACGAUCAGUAGCUGGUCUGAGAGGACGACCAGCAACACUGGGACUGAGACACGGCCCAGACUCCUACGGGAGGCAGCAGUGGGGAAUUUUGGACAAUGGGCGCAAGCCUGAUCCAGCCAUGCCGCGUGCGGGAAGAAGGCCUUCGGGUUGUAAACCGCUUUUGGCAGGGACGAAACGGCGCAAGCUAAUACCUUGCGCUAAUGACGGUACCUGCAGAAUAAGCACCGGCUAACUACGUGCCAGCCGCCGCCGUAACAC
rnacentral:rRNA from 1 species